UACGUAAGGACCGAGCGUUGUCCGGAAUCAUUGGGCGUAAAGGGUACGUAGGCGGUUAGAAAAGUUAGAAGUGAAAGGCUAUAGCUCAACUAUAGUAAGCUUUUAAAACUGUUUAACUUGAGAGAUGGAAGGGAAAGUGGAAUUCCUAGUGUAGCGGUGAAAUGCGCAGAUAUUAGGAGGAAUACCGGUGGCGAAGGCGACUUUCUGGCCAUUAUCUGACGCUGAGGUACGAAAGCGUGGGUAGCAAACAGG
rnacentral:rRNA from 2 species